rnacentral:sRNA from 1 species
UAUAGAUCUAGAAUCUAUAUAAGAUACCAUUCGAUGACAAAUAUUAAAUUAAAAUAAAUUGGUAACAAUGGCAUUUAUUUGUGAUCGAGGAACUUUUAACUACAAAGAAUUCAACACUCGUCCAAGAAGAAGCAUUCCAGCAUUAGAAAAUGUACAAAAUUAUGGGAAUGUAACUGGUUGGAACCCAUGGAUUCGAGGUGGCCAGUCACCCUCUGCAGUUCCAAUAAAUGAAUGUACCAAGGAUAUUUAUGAAAUGGUUUUGAAACAAAGGUAGUAUAAUUUUGUUUGUUUGCAUUUCCAUGUACAGUAUCAUUCAAAAAGCCAAACUGCAUAAGAACCCAAGACAUGCCUAUCUUGAAAUCAAAGCUUUCUCAAUUUUGCACUCGUUUAAAAAUAUAAUGAUCAUCUUUAAAUUUUUCAAUUAAUUUUUUUUAAUUUGAAAUAUAGUGUACUUAUAUUUAUAGGUUUGUAGGCUAACCUUUUUAGGAUAUUAGAUUUGUUAUUAUUUUAAAAUCAAUUCUAACAACCGCCAAAGGUGUACUAUUUACUUGUUUAAUCAAUUGGGAUAACUUUGGAUAGAAUACCCCCCCAAAAAAUGUGUACUUGACAAAUUCACUGUUAUGAAAAUCCCUAAUUCUAGAAAAUGUUGAAGUUUGUGAGAAAAUGGAAAUUAUCUUUUCUCACAAAUCUUAUAAUUUUAAAUUAUCACCUUAACAGAAUAAAAACACACUCAACCACUCUUCUGUAGACACUGCAUCCACCCUUACAAAACUGUGAUUCAUAUCCUCUUUGAAUAUCCCAUUUGUAUCCACCAUAGGCAGACCCUACUACCAUUACAGCCCAACGAAUCAACAUUCUAUAUAGCAGUGCUAAACAACUGAAGAAACAAAACGGUACACUAUUUUUCCUUGCAAUAGACUUCAAAAGAGCCUACAGCUCAGCAGCAGAAAACUAGCUAGAAGAAAAAGAAGAAUAUUGAA